UUGACCUCAAAUCAGGCAGGACUACCCGCUGAACUUAAGCAUAUCAAUAAGCGGAGGAAAAGAAACUAACAAGGAUUCCCCUAGUAACUGCGAGUGAAGCGGGAAAAGCUCAAAUUUAAAAUCUGGCAGUUUUUGACUGUCCGAGUUGUAAUCUAGAGAAGUGUUACCUGUGCUGGACCAUGUACAAGUCUUCUGGAAUGGAGCAUCAUAGAGGGUGAGAAUCCCGUCUUUGACAUGGACUACCUGUACAUUAUGGUGCGCUCUCAAAGAGUCGAGUUGUUUGGGAAUGCAGCUCAAAAUGGGUGGUAAAUGCCAUCUAAAGCUAAAUAUUGGCGAGAGACCGAUAGCGAACAAGUACCGUGAGGGAAAGAUGAAAAGAACUUUGGAAAGAGAGUUAAACAGUACGUGAAAUUGCUGAAA
rnacentral:rRNA from 1 species